GGGUGUGGCUCAAGUGGUAGCGUGCUCGCCUGGAAUGUGCAAGGCACGGAGUUCGAUCCUCAGCACCACA
rnacentral:tRNA from 1 species